GCUUCAAUAGUUUUCUCUUUUUCAGACUUUUAUUAUAUCUUAGGAUCUCUCAGAUAUUUCUGAAUCUUGAUGGAUCUAGAACUUACUCUGGCCUCACUUUCUGGCAAAGUAUUUCGAAUUUGCUAAGCGAGUAAAAUUAUUGUCUGCUUUUCCUCUGGCUAAACCUUGACCGAACUUAAUAUCAAAAGAGCUUAGCAACAUAUCUGCGGCUGAUUUAUUCAAAGGAAGGCAGCUUAUUUGUUUCCUGAAUGGUUUCAUCAACGCUUAGAACUCUUUAGGGCAAGAUUCAAAUCAAACCUAUAAAUCCAGAACAAAUCGAUUGGACCACGACUGGGUAUCACCCAAUUUUCCAAAGCCAUCAUUUUCUCGCGUUACAAUAUUCCGUUAUAAGGACUGCGCCUCUUGCUUCUAAGUGGAGGAGCUGAAGGAUAAAAAGUUUGGUCGUCAAUUAAAAGCAAUAUGUCCAAUUCAAAAGGGUAUUUCAUGGGUUUACAGCCACAAUAUUUAAAAUUGUGAAAGGCAGUACAAGAACAGAGAGAGGCAGUACAAGAAGGGCCGCCGCUAGGCUGGACGGGCUUCGGGGCCUCGGGGCAGAAGCCUUGACGAGCCCCAAUUUUGGCCGAAGACGCAAACAAUUUUGGGCUCCGCCCUGUUUUCGUUCCUGGAAACGCCCUUGUUCUUAAGUUGAACGUUAAAAUGGGCUUUACACCCUGCUUUGUAGCGUGGUUCAUCUUUUGACAUCUUUUUUAAAUCUUUCUCACGAACCUUUGGCAUUUAUACAAAGUAAGUAUGAAUGCAGUGUUACCAAUUUGCUCAAAAAAAUUAUCUACGUGGCAAUUAAAAGUGAGUCAACUUCUGAGUCCUUCUCGCUCCGAUAAAUUUUUUUCAAACUGUUACCCAUUAAUUUGCAAAACCUUUACAGUACCACGUACGAGCUUUUUAAGACAACAACCUCGAUAGCAUCAUUAAAGUCAAUCUUUUUAGCAACAUCACUCUCAAUACCUCAGCACAGCCAUGUCAUUCAUUAAGACAUCAUUCCUGAGUUUGAGUACGUCGAAAAGAGGUUUCAAACAUAAAUAACACAUAAAUAAUUUCAAAUACUUUGAUAUUUAUUUUCAGGCCUUUAGGAGCCCUUACAGGAAAAAUCCUUACCCAUAUGAUGCAUAAGAAAAAUAUACCUUGUUUCAUAAUCGUUAGAAAAGAAAAAAAUUGCGUUAAUCUAAAGCAUGGGUCCCUUUCGGGGCAUAGCCCCUUUUCGUUGCUACAAAGAAAUUCAUUCCUUCCAUUUGACCGGGGUAUAUGUCGUCGUUUCCCAAACACCACUUCCUGAAAGUAAGCACCUUAAUAACACAAAAACCCAUGCAUUUACCCAACCUUCGGGAGCUAUUCAUUCUCCAAGAAAAAUACCAGGCAAUCUUUGUGAAACGACUUUGUCCUCUACCUUUAGCAAAACUCAAGUUGUUUGGUAGGGCAUUUGGAUUGCUUUGUUGAAAUAAACAAUAAAAAAUAAGUUUCAUGGUUGUCUUAUCCCUUUGAAGGCGGCUUGAAAAUUGCCAAGUUUGUUGCGUUGAGAAAAAUGCGGGAAGUCUUCUCAGGGCAACCUCCACAGUCAUGUGCUUGCGUUUCUGAUUGGCUUAUUUCGAUCCACAACUGGGUAUAUAUAUUUCUUAGCGUAGAGUUUUAAAUAUACGUUCUGACGUUUUAAACUCGGAAGAGUGUCAGACGAAAAGCUUUAGUUUACUCAAAUGUUUGCUUUUUUUAAAGCCAUCUUGAAAGUCUUCUGUUCAAUGAACCAUCCCUCUCCCUUGGAUUAUGAGUCUCUGUUGAAUUUCAUUUUCUAUCAAAAACCUAAUUACAAAUAACUUUUGUAUACUUCAAGCAGCUUAUGACAGAAGUUACAAACAGAACAAAACGAAGUCAACAAAAUCACUAUAACUAAAAUUCGGAUAUGCAAAUCAACCCCGAACAAAAGAUCCACACCGCCCCGCGAUUCAAACGGUUUUGAGCCAAAACCGCUCGGCCGAUUUUCAAAAUUCUUUUUUCCACUGAAUCCUAGAUCCUCGAGGCUCAAACAUAAGGUCCGCUUUUUCGUAUUUUCGCUUCCGUUUUUGAGAUAUUAACGGUUUUCUCCCGGGUUCGUUCCAAAAUCUCGCGAUCACGAUUAGUGCUCUCCGUGGUCUUUGUCCCGUGUUUCUAUAGGUUCUUUCUCUCUCUUUUCUCUUGCUCUCUACAAAAGAUUUCAAAACUCCUUCCAACAGCAACCCUUCAAUUUGAACGGAGGCUUUUCAAAUUCGUUUCGCUUUCCACAAAGAAUCUACUGUGUGCCGAUAAUUUCGGUGACUUGGAAUUGGAUGAUAAUAAAUCUUCGUGCACUGCUGCUUGGCAUUCCUUUUCGAACUCGAAGCGGUCGCCGACGGUCGUGUCGUGUGUUACAGCUACAGCUACAGCUACAGCUCCAGUAGUCAAUCGUGCUGGGUGUUCUCGAUCUCAGUAGCUACGUACGGUACACGCGCUGCUACCUGAUAUUUGGUUUUGCGAUGGCUGCUGGCUGUUCCGGUUCUAAACUGGCAUCAGAAUCGAUGGCAUGCGAAUACAAAUAAACGAUCGGAUUCGCUGACUUUUUGGUACAACAACUAGAUCAAAGAGCAUUUCAAGCAAUAAUUACGACGCUGACGUGAUUCUCGGACCUUCGAAACGAAAUUGAUGGCAUUUAUGCUGGCGUUAAAUCAAAUGAUGAAACAAGAAAAAACUUGACUGUGGAGAAAAGGACUAAAGUUAUAUAGAUCAGCUGUUGUCCGUAAAUUGUAUUUUGUUAAUUUGUUGUUAGAGUAAGAUUCCUUUCUGAUGCACGAAA